rnacentral:rRNA from 1 species
AUUGAACGCUGGCGGCAGGCCUAACACAUGCAAGUCGAGCGGAUGAAGGGAGCUUGCUCCUGGAUUCAGCGGCGGACGGGUGAGUAAUGCCUAGGAAUCUGCCUGGUAGUGGGGGAUAACGUCCGGAAACGGGCGCUAAUACCGCAUACUUCCUGCGGGAGAAAGUGGGGGGUCUUCGGACCUCACGCUAUCAUAUGAGCCUAGGUCGGAUUAGCUAGUUGGCGGGGUAAAGGCCUACCAAGGCGACGAUCCGUAACUGGUCUGAGAGGAUGAUUAGUCACACUGGAACUGAGACACGGUCCAGACUCCUACGGGAGGCAGCAGUGGGGAAUAUUGGACAAUGGGCGAAAGCCUGAUCCAGCCAUGCCGCGUGUGUGAAGAAGGUCUUCGGAUUGUAAAGCACUUUAAGUUGGGAGGAAGGGCAGUAAGUUAAUACCUUGCUGUUUUGACGGUACCAACAGAAUAAGCACCGGCUAACUUCGUG